GAAGGAGAAGGGUCCCUGUUCCCUCCGUGAACAGGGUUCUCAUAAGCUCCAGGGAAAUUACUCGCAUCUCUCUGGAGCCUUUCUAGGUGUUUUUACUGGCAGAUGGUUCAGUAAAUGAUGGUACAUUU